UACGGAGGGAGCUAGCGUUAUUCGGAAUUACUGGGCGUAAAGCGCACGUAGGCGGCUUUGUAAGUCAGAGGUGAAAGCCUGGAGCUCAACUCCAGAAUUGCCUUUUAGACUGCAUCGCUUGAAUCAUGGAGAGGUGAGUGGAAUUCCGAGUGUAGAGGUGAAAUUCGUAGAUAUUCGCAAGAACACCAGUGGCGAAGGCGGCUCACUGGCCCGGUACUGACGCUGAGGUGCGAAAGCGUGGGGAGCAAACAGG
rnacentral:rRNA from 1 species